AUCUUAUCAAUGGACUAAGCUUGAUGGUCUAGAAGUACUACUAGAAUUGUGACGCGCUAGAAAUACCAAAAUCAACUUGCACAAAAAUUUCCUGUUCAUUUUUUACUACGACUCGUUUUUCACCACCGCACGGUUUUGCCGCGCCCUCGCCCAAGACAUUUUUUAUGUAAAAAAAUAGCUAUUAGAAAUUGAUUAAUAUGUUACAAUUUGAAAGGUUUUGAUCACCAGCUGAAGCCCUUGAGUUAUUAGAAAUCCUUUGUAUUGAGAGCUACACUAAAACGACAGGUGAUUUUAUUUUUGUCUGCGGUAACGGGCUCCCUGUGCUGUUACUCGACGCUUGUUUUCAGGGCUUCUCACAACCAAACAUGGCGGGUCCAUCAAGACUUUCACUAAACAAGGCCUCUGAGAGGAUGAUAUGACAUAUGUCUGACGACAAAAGUAACCUAUUGCCCAAAGUUGUGUUACGGCCAUCGCUUUGGAAAGAGCCUAUGAGAUCCUUGUGCCAUUCAAGCAUCGUCUCCUUGGCAACAAGACUACGUCAUAGGAAGUGUCAUCCUAAAUGUCAAGCAACAGCUAGAAACAAUUGUUACUACCUUAAAAAUGCGAAAUUUCUAUCUCAAGAAGAAAUCCCCAGCUAUUCAAAGAACUCAGAGAGGGCGAGAGGUCAAACCUUACUUUGCAACAAAGGGGGGGUUUGGCUUAGGGACAAAGGGGGAGGGGAUUUUUUUUGUUACAUAAGGCUUUCUGGCAGCCCAAAGGGGGGUUUAAACCCCCUUAACCCUCCCCCUUGAUCCGCUACUGAAGAUUAUGAUGAAUGCCGUACUAUCAUCUCAAGAUGAAAUCAACUGCAGAACGAGUAGAUAUGAGCACUUUAAUGAAGAUGAAUGCUAUGCCAUCAGAAAAAACGCACAACAGAGAGAUCAAAAUAAAUAGUUAUGGAGAAAG